rnacentral:rRNA from 1 species
UACGGAGGAUCCAAGCGUUAUCCGGAUUUAUUGGGUUUAAAGGGUGCGUAGGCGGCCUGUUAAGUCAGGGGUGAAAGACGGUAGCUCAACUAUCGCAGUGCCCUUGAUACUGAUGGGCUUGAAUACACUAGAGGUAGGCGGAAUGUGACAAGUAGCGGUGAAAUGCAUAGAUAUGACAUAGAACACCAAUUGCGAAGGCAGCUUACUACACAGCGAUUGACGCUGAGGCACGAAAGCGUGGGGAUCAAACAGG